ACACUGAUGCCUUUUGCAACCACAUACCUAUGUGAGAGUGGAUUCUCAGCCCUCACUAGCAUGAAAACUAAAUACAGGCACAGAUUGUGUGUAGGAAAAAAAAGACAUUGCAGAGUUAUGUGCAUCCUUUCAAGCACACCCUUCUCAUUAACCUGUGAACCUGAGCCCUAGGACCAUACGUCAGGACUACCGGGCAUGCUGACACCUUGCUGUCCCCAGUCCGCCCGGCCUUGCUGCUAUUCCAGUUUCAACUGUUUCUGCCUGCGGUUACGAAACCCCUACCUGUCCCAGACCUGCUGUUUUCAACUCUUAAUGAUCGGCUAUGAAAAGCCAACUGAGAUUUAUUCCUGAUUAUUAUUUGACCAUGCUUGUCAUUUAUGAACAUUUUGAAAAUCUUGGCUCUCUCUAAUUUUCUCCUUCUCUCUUUCUCUCGGAGGACCUGAGCCCUAGGACCAUACGUCGGGACUACCGGCCGUGGUGACUCCUUGCUGCCCCCAGUCCGCCUGGCCUUGCUGCUAUUCCAGUUUCAACUCUUCUGCCUGCGGUUAUGGAACCCCUACCUGUCCCAGACCUGCUGUUUUCAACUCUUAAUGAUCGGCUAUGAAAAGCCAACUGAGAUUUAUUCCUGAUUAUUAUUUGACCAUGCUUGUCAUUUAUGAACAUUUUGAAAAUCUUGGCUCUCUCUAAUUUUCUCCUUCUCUCUUUCUUUCUCUCGGAGGACCUGGGCCCUAGGACCAUGCGUCGGGACUGCCGCCCGUGGUGACUCCUUGCUGUCCCCAGUCCGCCUGGCCUUGCUGCUAUUCCAGUUUCAGCUGUUCUGCCUGCGGUUAUGGAACCGCCACCUGUCCCAGACCUGUUGUUUUUCAACUCUUAAUGAUCAGCUAUGAAAAGCCAACUGAAAAUUAUUCAUGAUUAUUAUUUGACCAUGCUUGUCACUUAUGAACAUUUUUGAACAUCUUGGCAUAGUUCUGUUAUAAUCUCCACCCGGCACAGCCAGAAGAGGACUGGCCACCCCUCAUAGCCUGGUUCCUCUCUAGGUUUCUUCCUAGGUUUUGGCCUUUCUAGGGAGUUUUUCCUAGCCACCGUGCUUCUACACCUGCAUUCUAGCUGUUUGGGGUUUUAGGCUGGGUUUCUGUACAGCACUUCGAGAUAUUAUCUGAUGUACGAAGGGCUAUAUAAAAUAAAAUUGAUUGAUUGAUUGAUCACCAA